GCUCAGACCAAGUCUAUUUGUGUCUGAGCUUGACUCAUAUGGCUUGAUCUUUAUUUUUCUUUCCUUAACUUGCUUGGACACGGAUAUGUGUUGUUGACACCGCCAAUCUCGAGCAGAGUCAGGAGGAAGAGGAGGGUCUGGUGUCAUUUGCGCCCCACUGACAACUGGUGCUCUUCACAGGUCUUCCACAGGAGAGGGAUGUGCAGACUCUGUGACCCAGGAGCCCCCAUAUGUUCCAUAAGCACUAUCUGCAGCUGGACCCUCUGCCUCCAAGAGGCUGGAUUUGUUACUUGCAUCGACGGUGAGAUGGCAUUAGCAUAACCUACUGAACUGUUACGUGAGGAGAUGGUUGGAGAGAGGAGACAAGGCGCCGGAACAGCUAUGGUGCUUCUCCAGGGACAAAGGCCUCAGCAUCCAGACACCCUUAGGAGGGGGAGUGGCCUCUUCUUUAAAGCUUGGCUUUUGCGGUUCUUUUUGCCUGACAGCUUGCUUGACGUGAGGCAUCAUUCGCAGUUUCUCUGAAUUAUACCCUGUUAGUUUCCUUCUUGGCACUCAUCCCCACCUCUCAUUUUAUCUGCUUUGCGUACUGACCAUCUCCCCCAGAUAAAUAAGCCCCCAAAGCAAGGAACUUGGUUUCUUUUGCUCACCGCUGUAUCAUCAUUGCCUAGCACAGCACCUGGCACUUGGUGGGCUCUCAGUAGCGUUAUUUAAUAAAUGCUUUCUGCACUGCUUGCUGGUGGAGGAAGCCACUCUAGGCUUGCCAGGACCCACACAAGAAUGCUGGUGUCAGCUGAUUGGGCACAGUGGGGGCUGUGAGGCCGGAGAACUGGGCCAGUCAGAGGGCAAGUGGAUGGGCCCAGGGGCACAGGCAGUGGAGAAGUUCGGAAGCCAGCUUCCCUCAGCCUUAGGAUACCCAGUGGCCAGUGUUCCCCGGGAGCAGGAUCCGGACUUAUUUUGGGGGAAAGAGGCAAAUGUCAACUAAAUAAAUUCACUGGGAAUUUUAUGAAAGCUCAAACAGCACCAGUACACACACAUUCAGGGUCUGCCAUGGGGCGCAGAACACCUGGGACACAGUGCACCG